rnacentral:lncRNA from 1 species
AUCACCUCUNCCUGCCAUCAGGGCUAACAGCCAUAAAUAUAUACAAACACAGAACCCCCUGGCUCCAUCACCUACUCUAACUUUCCUGCCAGCUGCAGGGAGAACAUNCUUCAGCAAGCGAGUUCUGCCAUGCUCCAGAUGCUCCAACUAGACCACCCUCCCCGGAUAGCCAUCGAAGCCACCCGGCGGGCGCACGAAGGAUGGGCAAAGACAAUGACAGGGCUUCCCGCCUUGCCAGUUGCAGAGCCACUCAUGAAUAUAUCCACCAAUGGGACACUGAUUAUCCGAAGAGGAAACUGCGUGCAGAUUUCCAGCCACGUAACAAUGGAUGAACUUGGCUGGAAGAGCUGGGUGCUGUACCCCGAGUCCUUCGUUUUCACCCAGUGCCUGGGCUGCCGCUGCCAGCGAAAAGACAAACAGCCUCCAUUGCCUCCCUGGAUGCAGGAAUGCGGAAUUGGGCAGGCGGGGACUCAGCUAGAGCUGGACAUCGAUCAGGUACGGACAUUGAUCGCCUUCUCACGCCAAGGCAGCCCUGGCAUCUCAUGGUAGCCAUUGCCUUGUGGGCUCCAGGAAGGGAUCCAUCCAUCUAUCCAUCCAUCUAGAACCAUUAUCUACCCAUCCAUCCAUCCAUCCAUCCAUCUAGAACCAUUAUCUACCCAUCCAUCCAUCCAUCCAUCCAUCUAGAACCAUUAUCUACCCAUCCAUCCAACCAUUUAUCUAUAUCCUGCCCUAUUGCUUUAUCGUGCCCAGGAUAGUUUACAGGAUUAAAACACACAGAAUAACCUAAUACCCCAAAACCUACAAAAUGUAAAAUCAUCAUCAUAAUUAAUAAUCGCAAACAUAAACUUGGGGGCCACCAACAGAGAGGCCCGGCGCCGUGGUGUUGGCGUGAUGCCACCCCUUCUCACCGUCCUGCUGGAUCCAAGGAUCAGGACAUCCAGAGUCCUCUGUACCAUGCUAGGAGAAGCUGAGCUUCGCUUGGCCUGUGUUGGCACAGUGGUGGUCCGUAUUUUUGGCCAGGAACAGCAGCAGACCCCUGUAAAAUGGCACAGAGUUCCGCUUUUGGGCCAAACCGAUUGGACAGCGUCUUUUGAAACCACGACAGGGAAACCCCAGCAUUUGGGGGAAAACAGUCAGAUUUCUCCCUCGUCAUCCUGAGAGAGGCUGAACAGAGGGGAAUGCCAGUGUGGACAAAAGUAUUUUUGACUAUACAUUCAGGCAAUGAAUAAAUAAUUAAAAACAUCUAAUAAACA